UACGAAGGGGGCUAGCGUUGUUCGGAUUUACUGGGCGUAAAGCGCACGUAGGCGGAUUGGUCAGUUAGGGGUGAAAUCCCAGAGCUCAACUCUGGAACUGCCUUUAAUACUGCCAGUCUCGAGUCCGGAAGAGGUAAGUGGAACUCCUAGUGUAGAGGUGGAAUUCGUAGAUAUUCGCAAGAACACCAGUGGCGAAGGCGGCUCACUGGCCCGGUACUGACGCUGAGGUGCGAAAGCGUGGGGAGCAAACAGG
rnacentral:rRNA from 1 species